AGCGAACGCUGGCGGUAGGCCUAACACAUGCAAGUCGAACGGCAGCACAGGAGAGCUUGCUCCCUGGGUGGCGAGUGGCGGACGGGUGAGGAAUACAUCGGAAUCUACUUUUUCGUGGGGGAUAACGUAGGGAAACUUACGCUAAUACCGCAUACGACCUACGGGUGAAAGCAGGGGACCUUCGGGCCUUGCGCGAUUGAAUGAGCCGAUGUCGGAUUAGCUAGUUGGCGGGGUAAAGGCCCACCAAGGCGACGAUCCGGAGCUGGUCUGGGAGGAUGAUCAGCCACACUGGAACUGAGACACGGUCCAGACUCCUACGGGAGGCAGCAGUGGGGAAUACUGGACAAUGGGCGCAAGCCUGAUCCAGCCAUACCGCGUGGGUGAAGAAGGCCUUCGGGUUGUAAAGCCCUUUUGUUGGGAAAGAAAUCCAGCUGGCUAAUACCCGGUUGGGAUGACGGUACCCAAAGAAUAAGCACCGGCUAACUUCGUGCCAGCCGCCGCCGUAA
rnacentral:rRNA from 1 species